rnacentral:rRNA from 1 species
GACGAACGCUGGCGGCGUGCUUAACACAUGCAAGUCGAACGGAAAGGCCCUUCGGGGUACUCGAGUGGCGAACGGGUGAGUAACACGUGGGUGAUCUGCCCUGCACUUUGGGAUAAGCCUGGGAAACUGGGUCUAAUACCGAAUAGGACCACGCGCUUCAUGGUGUGUGGUGGAAAGCUUUUGCGGUGUGGGAUGGGCCCGCGGCCUAUCAGCUUGUUGGUGGGGUAAUGGCCUACCAAGGCGACGACGGGUAGCCGGCCUGAGAGGGUGACCGGCCACACUGGGACUGAGAUACGGCACAGACUCCUACGGGAGGCAGCAGUGGGGAAUAUUGCACAAUGGGCGCAAGCCUGAUGCAGCGACGCCGCGUGAGGGAUGACGGCCUUCGGGUUGUAAACCUCUUUCAAUAGGGACGAGGCGCAAGUGACGGUACCUAUAGAAGAAGCACCGGCCAACUACGUG